rnacentral:rRNA from 1 species
AUUGAACGCUGGCGGCAUGCCUUACACAUGCAAGUCGAACGGUAACAGGUCUUCGGAUGCUGACGAGUGGCGAACGGGUGAGUAAUACAUCGGAACGUGCCUAGUAGUGGGGGAUAACGCAGCGAAAGCUGCGCUAAUACCGCAUACGAUCUAUGGAUGAAAGCGGGGGACCGUAAGGCCUCGCGCUGUUGGAGCGGCCGAUGUCAGAUUAGGGAGUUGGUGGGGUAAAGGCUCACCAAGCCAACGAUCUGUAGCUGGUCUGAGAGGACGACCAGCCACACUGGAACUGAGACACGGCCCAGACUCCUACGGGAGGCAGCAGUGGGGAAUUUUGGACAAUGGGCGCAAGCCUGAUCCAGCAAUGCCGCGUGCAGGAAGAAGGCCUUCGGGUUGUAAACUGCUUUUGUACGGAACGAAACGGUCCUGGUUAAUACCUGGGGCUAAUGACGGUACCGUAAGAAUAAGCACCGGCUAACUACGUGCCAGCAGCCGCCGUAAUAC